CGGGUGAAGAUGGCAGAGCGCAGUUACUGCUUUUCAUUGACUACUUUCAGCCCAUCUGGUAAACUUGUUCAGAUUGAAUAUGCUUUGGUUGCUGUAGCUGGAGGAGCCCCUUUAGUGGGAAUUAAAGCUGCAAAUGGUGUGGUAUUAGCAACAGAGAAGAAACAGAAAUCCAUUCUGUAUGAUGAGCGAAGUGUACACAAAGUGGAGCCAAUUACCAAACAUACAGGCUUGGUAGAUAGUGGCAUGGACCCAGGUUACAGAGCGCUUGUGCACAGAGCCCGAAAACUAGCUCAGCAAUAUUACCUUGUUUACCAAGAACCCAUUCCCACAGCUCAGCUGGUACAGAGAGUAGCUUCUGUGAUGCAAGCAUAUACCCAAUCAGGCGGUGUUCGUCCAUUUGGAGUUUCUUUACUAAUUUGUGGUUGGAAUGAGGGGCGACAAUAUUUAUUUCAGUCAGAUCCAUCGGGAGCUUACUUUGCCUGGAAAGCCACAGUGAUGGGAAAGAAAUACGUGAAUGGAAAAACUUUUCUUGAGAAAAGAUAUAAUGAAGAUCUAGAACUUGAAGAUGCCAUUCAUACAGCCAUAUUAACCCUGAAGGAAGGCUUUGAAGGGCAGAUGACAGAAGAUAACAUAGAAGUUGGAAUCUGCAGUGAAGCUGGACUUAGGAGGCUUACUCCAACUGAAGUUAAGGAUUACUUGGCUGCCAUCGCAUAAUGAAGUGACUGAAAAUCUGGAAUUGCAGAUAAUCUCUAUACUUAAACAUGUUUAAAGUA